rnacentral:tRNA from 1 species
CGGGCAUCGUAUAAUGGCUAUUACCUCAGCCUUCCAAGCUGAUGAUGCGGGUUCGAUUCCCGCUGCCCGCUCCA